AAAAAAAUGCUCUUCUUGUUUUAUCCUGUUCAUUUUGUGUUUAAAUGCUGCUAAAAAAAAAAAAAACAUAUUUAGGUGUAAUUUUGGGGGACCGAGAACCAAUGAAUUGGUUUUCCAGUGUUUCUUCUGGGAAGAAUUCUAUCAGAACUCGAACUUUUUAGGAUUUGAUCCGGAGUCCGGAACGGAUUAAGUUCGAGAACCGAGGUACCACUGUAUAUAUAUUAUGUAAAAAUAUGAUGUUAAAAUAUUAAAGUAAAAAGGGUUCUUGUAUUGAAAUUUGUGUCUGUUUUGGAAUCAGUUCGAAACUGAAAAAUGUGGAUCGGCCCAUCUCUAUAAAUUCUGGCACAAAUGUGAACUAAAUUAAGGUUUUAAAAUAUUGAAUUGAACAAUACUGUGAAUGUGUGGUUUUAAAAGAAAAUAAUUAUCAAUAAGCACUGGUGAUUAUCCCUUGGUAUAUCAGUUUUUUUCUCAUAAAUUUUGGUUAUCAUACCUCCUAGUAAAAUAAUCUUUAUUGGUAUGCAUUGUUGCAUUUUGAGCUGUUAAACCUGUUUUGAUUAAAAAUGUAUAAAGUGCUGAUUUUCUUUUUUUCAUCUUUUAGUCUGUAUGCCCGAAGAAGGAUUUAAAGGUACUGGGCUUCUUGGACACUAAACGAAAUUGCCACUCAGUGGAAUUCAGCAUUACCUUUUGAUUUAUUUCACAGUGGCAGCUUUAUCAUUUUUGUUGAGUUGAUUUCCAAUGUGUGCUUGCUUUCAAAAUAUCUUCAUUCAUUAUCUAAAACUAUAAUUGUGCUUCUUAUAGCAUAAAAAAUUAAUAAAAAGUUAUCUAUAGGAUUUUUUUCCGUCUCAAAGAGUUGCUGUGGCAUUUCAGUUUUACAGGUUCAGUGUAAAUGUGGUUUUUACACUUCAGCUCCCACAAGAGCUACAAACAUCAAAAUACAAAAGGAACUGCAUCACAUCAUUAUAAGCUGAAUUUCAAUUCCUCUAGACCUUCUAAAACUUAACAUGUAUGUCGCAUAAGUUUUUAGCAUACUCUACACAGGUCUAAAUUAAAAACACAAAUUAAGGAAACUUGAUUCUGAAUCAGAAUUUUUUUUAAAAUCCUAAAUAAAACUGUUUCACUUUU